rnacentral:rRNA from 1 species
GACGAACGCUGGCGGCGUGCUUAACACAUGCAAGUCGAACGGAAAGGCCCUGCUUUUGUGGGGUGCUCGAGUGGCGAACGGGUGAGUAACAAGUGAGUAACCUGCCCUUGACUUUGGGAUAACUUCAGGAAACUGGGGCUAAUAACGGAUAGGAGCCCCCGUCGCAUGGGGGGGGGUGGAAAGUUUUGGCGGUUGGGGAUGGAAUCGCGGCUUAUCAGCUUGUUGGUGGGGUAGUGGCUUACCAAGGCUUUGACGGGUAGCCGGCCUGAGAGGGUGACCGGCCACAUUGGGACUGAGAUACGGCCCAGACUCCUACGGGAGGCAGCAGUGGGGAAUAUUGCACAAUGGGCGGAAGCCUGAUGCAGCAACGCCGCGUGCGGGAUGACGGCCUUCGGGUUGUAAACCGCUUUCGCCUGUGACGAAGCGUGAGUGACGGUAAUGGGUAAAGAAGCACCGGCUAACUACGUG